rnacentral:lncRNA from 1 species
AUGUUAUAUCUAAACAUGAAACACUUAUAUAUACAUAGAUAUAAGGUUUUAAACCUCAAGAUCACAACUUCAAGUUAUCAAAAAUCAAAUCAAACUACCAAGGAAAAUAAACUACAUAAGAAGAAAUUUUUGUUAUACCUUAGCUCUAUCUUCUUUCUCCUUCACAAUUGUAGAUGGAUCUUGAUUUUAUGAAAGUCUAAAUCUCCCCUUCUUCUUCCCUUAGAGUGGCCGAAAAUGGCCUUCUCUUCUCUCUCUCUCUCUCUCUUGUCUUCUUAGCUAACUUUGGUAGUAAAAUGAAAGAGAAAGAAGUAAAAGAAAAUAAGAUGACUUUACUUUAGUGAGCUAGAUAUAUCACAAGCUCCUCCCUUUCUUGCAAUAUCCGGCCAUAUGGCCUUCAUUCUCCUACUAAUUCUCCACUCAUUCUCUUUUUCUUUUCCUUAUUAGAAGGUUGCUUGCAAGCUAAAACAUGUUGGACAAACAAAAAA